rnacentral:rRNA from 1 species
AUGUUACAACUGCAAUGGGAUCCAGGUGAUUGCUUUACUCCAGUUUGGCGACAUGAAAAUCUUGCAGGUACAGAUGAUGUUUGCCCAAAGCAUGGUAUCGCUACACUUCAGGUGACAUGGGAUCCGGGAGGUUCGACACAAUUUUGGUUUGCGGACAAAGCUGGAAAUUGGGUUCAAGAUGUUUUGCAAACUCCAUGGGAUCCCGGUGGCGCUAUACAAUAUCGACUUGGGGGAAGUCGAAUUUUAUGGAGAGGGAUUGUCAGCAACCUAGGCCCUGCUGCCAUCCAACCGGUAUCCAGCCCAGCCCAGUUGGAAGCCACAAGGACUACACUUGAGACAUCACACAUGGUUGGCUUGGAACGGAAGGCUUCGGCCUGGCCUGGCUUGUCUGGCGACCUCUCUCUCUCUCUCUCGGUUUCUUCCUCCGUCCUCCUCUGUUUCUUCCCCAGAUCCUCAAAUUCCCAUGUAAUUUCCAGAUUUGUAACUAAAUCCUUGUUGAUUGAGUAG